CUUCGUCGAUCUGCUGCGGGCUGAUGAAGUGGAUGUGCGUAUCGAUGCCGCCCGCCGUCACGAUCAGGCCUUCGCCCGCGAUGAUCUCGGUCGCCGCGCCGAUCGCGAUCGUCACGCCCGGCUGGAUGUCCGGAUUGCCCGCCUUGCCGAUCGCCGCGAUGCGGCCGUGCUUGAUCGCGAUGUCCGCCUUCACGAUGCCCCAGUGAUCGAGAAUCACCGCGUUCGUGAUCACGGUGUCCGCCACGUCGGCCGCGGGGAGCUGCGAUUGGCCCAUGCCGUCGCGGAU
rfam:Burkholderia pseudomallei strain K96243, chromosome 1, complete sequence.